UGAGGAAUAUUGGUCAAUGGUCGGGAGACUGAACCAGCCAAGCCACGUGAGGGAUGAAGGUGCUAAGCAUUGUAAACCUCUUUUGUCAGGGAACAAAGGCAUCCACGAGUGGGUGUGUGAGUGUACCUGAAGAAAAAGCAUCGGCUAACUCCGUGCCAGCAGCCGCGGUAAUACGGAGGAUGCGAGCGUUAUCCGGAUUUAUUGGGUUUAAAGGGUGCGUAGGCGGCCUGUUAAGUCAGCGGUAAAAGCCCGGGGCUCAACCCGGCGAGCGUUGAAACUGGCUGGCUGGAGUUGGCGAGAGGUAUGCGGAAUGCGCGGUGUAGCGGUGAAAUGCUUAGAUAUCGCGCAGAACUCCGAUUGCGAAGGCAGCAUGCCGGCGCCACACUGACGCUGAGGCACGAAAGCGUGGGGAUGCAAACAGGAUUAGAUACC
rnacentral:rRNA from 1 species